AUACUUAUGUUGGCAGCACACAUACUAAUGUUGAAAUGAUAUAGAGAAGUUUAGCAUUUCUCCAACACAAGGACAACAUGCAAAUUGAUGAAGCUUUCUAUUUUUUA
rnacentral:snRNA from 1 species